ACGCUUGUAGUUCAAGGGUAGAACGGCGGUCUCCAAAACCGUUGAUGGGAGUUCGAAUCUCUCCGGGUGUG
rnacentral:tRNA from 1 species